rfam:Homo sapiens chromosome 14, GRCh38 reference primary assembly.
UCCACUUAGAAAUCUUGUUAAAAUGUAGAUUCUAAUUCAGGAAAUCUGAGAUGAGACCUGAGAGUCUACAUUUCUAAAAAGCUCUCAAGUGACGCAAA